GACGAACGCUGGCGGCGUGCUUAACACAUGCAAGUCGAACGGAAAGGCCCCUUUGGGGGUACUCGAGUGGCGAACGGGUGAGUAACACGUGAGUAACCUGCCCUUGACUUCGGGAUAACUUCAGGAAACUGGGGCUAAUACCGGAUAGGAAUCCUUGCUGCAUGGUGGGGGUUGGAAAGCUACGGCGGUUUUGGAUGGACUCGCGGCUUAUCAGCUUGUUGGUGGGGUAGUGGCUUACCAAGGCUUUGACGGGUAGCCGGCCUGAGAGGGCGACCGGCCACAUUGGGACUGAGAUACGGCCCAGACUCCUACGGGAGGCAGCAGUGGGGAAUAUUGCACAAUGGGCGGAAGCCUGAUGCAGCAACGCCGCGUGCGGGAUGACGGCCUUCGGGUUGUAAACCGCUUUCAGCAGGGGCGAAGCUUGUGGUGACGGUACCUGCAGAAGAAGCACCGGCUAACUACGUG
rnacentral:rRNA from 1 species